AUUGGUUGGAAGGCCCUUCGCUCUAGCUGGGAGGCUGACGGCCCGCGGGCGAAAGCGGACUGCAGCCGCGAGCUCCUGGCGGCGGCGGGAUGGAGGCGGCGGCCGAGCCUGGAAACCUGGCUGGCGUCAGGCACAUCAUCCUGGUCCUCUCAGGAAAGGGGGGCGUUGGGAAAAGCACCAUCUCCACGGAGCUGGCCCUGGCACUGCGCCAUGCAGGCAAGAAGGCUGUGCCGCUCCUUGCAGGUGGGAAUCCUGGAUGUGGACCUGUGUGGCCCCAGUAUCCCCCGCAUGCUCGGGGCGCAGGGCAGGGCUGUGCACCAGUGCGACCGUGGCUGGGCACCCGUCUUCCUGGACCGGGAGCAGAGCAUCUCGCUCAUGUCUGUGGGCUUCCUGCUGGAGAAGCCGGACGAGGCCGUGGUGUGGAGAGGCCCCAAGAAAAACGGUAACAGCCGGGCGGCGCGUCCGCUGUCCUGGUGAAGGGGGUUAGCGUCAGUGCCGGCCUCUCCUGUGG
rnacentral:sRNA from 1 species